rnacentral:tRNA from 1 species
AAGGUAUAAAGACAUGUGAGGGGGCCGCUAACUCCCUUUUUAGCAGUUCAAUUCUGUUAAUACCUUU